rnacentral:rRNA from 1 species
GGACUACCGGGGUAUCUAAUCCGGUUCGCUCCCCACGCUUUCGCGUCUCAGCGUCAGGUAGGGCCCAGAAAGCCGCCUUCGCCACAGGUGUUCCUCCCGAUAUCUACGCAUAUCACCACUACACCGGGAAUUCCACUUUCCUCUACCCCCCUCAAGUCCGCCAGUAUGCAAGGACCUCUCCCAGUUGAGCCGGGAGCUUUCACCCUGCACUUAACAGACCGCCUGCACGCCCUUUACGCCCAGUAAAUCCGGACAACGCUUGCCACCUACGUAUUACCGCGGCGGCUGGCAC